AUAAAGCUUUAUUCUGGCUUAAAAAUUAGGUGAAAUUUUGUUUUACAUGUAAGAUUUAUCAGAAAAUUUAAAAUAAUUUAAAUAAUUUUUUUAUAUAAAUUAAAAUCGCAGUAGAGAAAUUUAUUAAUUAAUGAAAAUUAGAUUUAGAAAUAAUUUUAAAUAUUGACUAAAUUUGUGCCAGCAGUUGCGGUUACACAAAUAAUAUAAUUUUAUUAUAAGAGUUAAUAAUUAAUUGUUAGUUAUAAGAUUUUAAUAUUUAAAUUAUUAGGUGAAAUUUUAAUUUAAAUAAAGAUUGAAUGUUUUUAAUGAAGUUAAGAAAUUUAUUUAUAAACUAGGAUUAGAUACCCUAUUAUUAUAAAUGUAAAUUAAAAAUACUGGAUUAUUAUAAGUUUAUGAUCUUUAAAAUUAAAGAUUUUGGCGGUAUUUUAGUCUAUUCAGAGGAAUCUGUCCUGUAAUCGAUAAUCCACGAUUUAAAUUACUUUUUUUAAUAAUUUAUAUAUCGUUGUAGUUAGAAUAUUUUAAAAGAAUUAAAAUAUUCAAUAUUUUAGUUUAAAAAUUAAAUCAGAUCAAGGUAUAGUUUAUAAAAAAGAAGAGAUGGAUUACAAUAAAUUUAUUUUUGGAUUAAAUUAUUUAAAAUUUUUAUGAAUUUGGAUUUGAUAGUAAUAUUUAUAAUUAUAUAAUAUGAUUUAAGCUCUAAAAUAUGCACAUAUUGCCCGUCGCUUUCACUCUAAAGUGGAAUAAGUCGUAACAAAGUAGGCUUACUGGAAAGUGAGCCUAGAAAGAA
rnacentral:ncRNA from 1 species